AUGGUCCAGAGAAGAGGUACUUGGCACUGUGUCCCAGGCUGUGCAGGGCAGCCUGCCCCUAAGGCUGGCCGCUGUGAUACAUGACCACAACCUAUACGGGCCACCAGCUUCCAGACACUCCUAAGAAUGGUUUCCUCCUGUCACUUAGAAGGUUUGGGAGCUCAGGGCUCAGGACACAGGGGCCUGAAGAGUGUGGCCUCAGGGAAGAAGAGGGAGGGGAACGGAUGUCCAGGUGUGCAGGAGGGCAGAGCCACGGAGCUGAGAAGCUGGGGACAGCCUGACAACUCAACCCACUCAAGACCUGUCAAGGAUAUGCAGGAGCUUUUGUUCCCAAGGAAAAGAGGCAACAGCUCCACCCUGGGGUCCCAGGCACACUUGGCCUGCCUGACACUGAGUGAGACUGGACCAGGACCACAGAGAUUUCUGCUUCUCCCUCGGGGACAGCAAUGUGAAGUCAUGAGCAGCAACAGUCUACAACAAAGUUGGUAAGAGCAGGGACUGGUGCAGAAGCACCAGGAAAGUCAAGCUGAAGAUGGAGAGGAGACUUGAGGAAAACUUUCUAGCACUCGAGCACCUGCCUAUGCACAAUAUAGCAUCAGAGAAAGCUGGGGCCAGUCGUGCUCUGAAGUGAAACAGAGCAACAAUAAAACCCAGAUCCAACUCAGCUACUUCUCAGAUUGAGCCAACUUUCCAAAUCAAGUACCUGGAAAGAGAGUCACGCUGUGCAUACCCCUUUCCAAGAAUGGAUAUUCUAUGCCUGGGUACAUAUGCAAAAGAACCGAAAGCAGGAACUCAUAGAUGCCUGCACACCAACAUGCAUAGCAGCAAAGAAGUGCAAGCAACCUAAUGUGAUCAGCAAACGAAUGGGUGGACAAAGUGUGGUGCUGACAUACAAGGGAAUUGGUGAAAUUCUGACUCAUGAAUGAACCUUGAAAUAUUAGACUGGGUGAAAUAAACAAUAAAAAAUGGUUAACAUGGUAUAAUUUCACUUGUGUGGGGUGUCUAGAGUUGUAAACCUCACAGAGAUAUAAAAUAGAAUAGAGUUUACCAGGGAGUGGGGGGAAGGAUGAGAGGGGAGUUGUCUUGGGGGGUGGUAAAGUGUUAUAGAAGCGGGUAGUGCUGAUAACAUCACAUGCUGUGAAUGUGCUGAAUGUCACUAAAUUGUACAUUUAAAAUGGCUAAAAUGGUAAGUUUUAUAAUAAUAAAUGUACUAAUUUUUGUACUAGAUUCUUAAUCAAAACAUUUUAAUCUCUUAUGCCUCCAGGCUGAGACAGCUUCAUUGGUAGACUUACCAAACAUAUAAGGAA
rnacentral:lncRNA from 1 species